UCUUAUUUUUUCUUCUUCUUCAAUCUUCUUCUUUCUUUCUUUCUUUCAUUCUUCUCUUCUUAUGUUCUCUCUCUCUCUCUCUGCCGUUUUUCAAUUCGAGUGAUUUGAGGCUUGAAAGUGUGUGAGUGAGUCAUAGGGAGUUUAGUAUCUUGAUGAAUCAAAGAAGAAGGUGAUGAUGUUUCUAUCGAUUGAGUUUUGGAAGAAGCAGAAAAGGUUAGUCUUUAUUAACAACGAUCGAUUCAAAGAUUGAACUAGUGGAUUGAGGAUCUCGAGGUAGGCGUGGCUUGUCAUCAAAUCAGUUUUUCAGUAAUAUGAAGGAGUGGAGCGCUCAAAAAUAUCCGUUUCGUAGCUUAGAGUUUUAUGAAAUCUAGAGUUGUUGUGCAUUUUUUUUACUAUAUGUAUUCUUUCUUAUUUUGUAAACAACACAUUUAUAUAUUCUUAGAACUCGAAAUACUUUCAUUUAUAUAAUAUCAGAGAGUUUGGGUUUUGUU